AACGAACGCUGGCAGCAGGCCUAACACAUGCAAGUCGAGCGCCCCGCAAGGGGAGCGGCGGACGGGUGAGUAACGCGUGGGAACGUGCCCUUUGCUACGGAAUAGCCCCGGGAAACUGGGAGUCAUACCGUAUCAGCCCUACGGGGGAAAGAUUUAUCGGAAAAGGAUCGGCCCGCGUUUGAUUAGGUAGUUAGUAGGGUAAUGGCCUACCAAGCCGACGAUCCAUAGCUGGUUUGAGAGAAUGAUCAGCCACACUGGGACUGAGACACGGCCCAGACUCCUACGGGAGGCAGCAGUGGGGAAUCUUAGACAAUGGGCGCAAGCCUGAUCUAGCCAUGCCGCGUGAGCGAUGAAGGCCUUAGGGUUGUAAAGCUCUUUCGUGGGGGAAGAUAAUGACUGUACCCCAAGAAGAAGCCCCGGCUAACUCCGUGCCAGCCGCCGCCGUAAUAC
rnacentral:rRNA from 1 species